GGUCAUGGCUCAGUGGUAGAGCACUUGCCUAGCUUGCAUGAGGCACUGGGUUCGAUCCCCAACACCA
rnacentral:tRNA from 1 species